rnacentral:rRNA from 1 species
AAUAUUGGACAAUGGGCGAAAGCCUGAUCCAGCCAUGCCGCGUGUGUGACGAAGGNCCNNGGAUUNUNUAGCACUCUAAGCUGNNNNNCAGGGCUGUAGGUUACUACACUGCAAUUUUGACGUUACCAACAGAAUAAGCACCGGCUAACUUCGUUCCAGCAGCCGCGGUAAUACGAAGGGUGCAAGCGUUAAUCGGAAUUACUGGGCGUAAAGCGCGCGUAGGUGGGUCGUUAAGUUGGAAGUGAAAGCCCCGGGCUUAACCUGGGAAUUGCUUACAAAACUGACGAGCUAGAGUACGGUAGAGAGUAGUGGAAUUUCCUGUGUAGCGGUGAAAUGCGUAGAUAUAGGAAGGAACAUCAGUGGCGAAGGCGACUACCUGGACUGAUACUGACACUGAGGUGCGAAAGCGUGGGGAGCAAACAGG